CAGCAGCCGCGGUAAUACGAAGGGUGCAAGCGUUACUCGGAAUUACUGGGCGUAAAGCGUGCGUAGGUGGUGGUUUAAGUCCGUUGUGAAAGCCCUGGGCUCAACCUGGGAAUUGCAGUGGAUACUGGGUCACUAGAGUGUGGUAGAGGAUAGUGGAAUUUCCGGUGUAGCAGUGAAAUGCGUAGAGAUCGGAAGGAACAUCUGUGGCGAAGGCGACUAUCUGGGCCAACACUGACACUGAGGCACGAAAGCGUGGGGAGCAAACAGGAUUAGAUACCCGUGUAGUCCCUGUCUCUUAUAA
rnacentral:rRNA from 1 species